rnacentral:rRNA from 1 species
GACGAACGCUGGCGGCGGGCUUAACACAUGCAAGUCGAACGGAAAGGCCCUGCUGUUGUGGGGUGCUCGGUUGGCGAACGGGUUAGUAACACGUGAGUAACCUGCCCUUGACUUUGGGAUAACUUCAGGAAACUGGGGCUAAUACCGGAUAGGAGCUCCUGCUGCAUGGUGGGGGUUGGAAAGUUUCGGCGGGUGGGGAUGGACUCGGGGCUUAUCAGCUUGUUGGUGGGGUAGUGGCUUACCAAGGCUUUGACGGGUAGCCGGGCUGGGGGGGUGACCGGCCACGUUGGGAUUGAGCUACGACCCAGCCUCCUACGGGAGGCAGCGGUGCGGAAUAUUGCACUAUGGGCGGAAGCCUGAUGUAGCAACGCCGCGUGCGGGAUGACGGCCUUCGGGUUGUAUUCCGAAUCCGCCUGUGCCGAAGCGUGAGUGACGGUACUGGGUAAAGAAGCACCGGCUAACUACGUG